rnacentral:rRNA from 1 species
GACGAACGCUGGCGGCGUGCCUAACACAUGCAAGUCGAACGGAGUUAAGACUUCAGUUUUAACUUAGUGGCGAACGGGUGAGUAACGCGUGAGGAACCUGCCUCUCAGUGGGGGACAACAGUUGGAAACGACUGCUAAUACCGCAUAACAUCCACGGACCGCAUGAUCUGUGGAUCAAAGCUUUAUGUGCUGAGAGAUGGCCUCGCGUCUGAUUAGCUAGUUGGUGGGGUAACGGCCCACCAAGGCGACGAUCAGUAGCCGGUCUGAGAGGAUGAACGGCCACAUUGGGACUGAGAUACGGCCCAGACUCCUACGGGAGGCAGCAGUGGGGAAUAUUGGGCAAUGGGGGAAACCCUGACCCAGCAACGCCGCGUGAAGGAAGAAGGCCUUCGGGUUGUAAACGUUCUUUUACCUAGGACGAAGAACGUGACGGUACCUGGAGAAAAGACAACGGCUAACUACGUAG